GGGGAAUAUUGCACAAUGGGGGAAACCCUGAUGCAGCGACGCCGCGUGGAGGAAGAAGGUCUUCGGAUUGUAAACUCCUGUUGUUGAGGAAGAUAAUGACGGUACUCAACAAGGAAGUGACGGCUAACUACGUGCCAGCAGCCGCGGUAAAACGUAGGUCACAAGCGUUGUCCGGAAUUACUGGGUGUAAAGGGAGCGCAGGCGGGAAGACAAGUUGGAAGUGAAAUCUAUGGGCUCAACCCAUAAACUGCUUUCAAAACUGUUUUUCUUGAGUAGUGCAGAGGUAGGCGGAAUUCCCGGUGUAGCGGUGGAAUGCGUAGAUAUCGGGAGGAACACCAGUGGCGAAGGCGGCCUACUGGGCACCAACUGACGCUGAGGCUCGAAAGUGUGGGUAGCAAACAGGAUUAGAUACCCUGGUAGUCCACACCGUAAACGAUGAUUACUAGGUGUUGGAGGAUUGACCCCUUCAGUGCCGCAGUUAACACAAUAAGUAAUCCACCUGGGGAGUACGACCGCAAGGUUGAAACUCAAAGGAAUUGACGGGGGCCCGCACAAGCAGUGGAGUAUGUGGUUUAAUUCGACGCAACGCGAAGAACCUUACCAAGUCUUGACAUCCUGCGACGAUNCUAGAAAUAGUGUUUUCCUUCGGGACGCAGAGACAGGUGGUGCAUGGUUGUCGUCAGCUCGUGUCGUGAGAUGUUGGGUUAAGUCCCGCAACGAGCGCAACCCUUAUGGUCAGUUACUACGCAAGAGGACUCUGGCCAGACUGCCGUUGACAAAACGGAGGAAGGUGGGG
rnacentral:rRNA from 1 species